rnacentral:rRNA from 1 species
UACGUAGGGUGCAAGCGUUGUCCGGAAUUAUUGGCGUAAAGAGCUUGUAGGCGGUUUGUCGCGUCUGCUGUGAAAUUUCGGGGCUCAACCCCGAACUUGCAGUGGGUACGGGCAGACUAGAGUGUGGUAGGGGAGACUGGAAUUCCUGGUGUAGCGGUGAAAUGCGCAGAUAUCAGGAGGAACACCGGUGGCGAAGGCGGGUCUCUGGGCCGAUACUGACGCUGGAGGAGCGAAAGCAUGGGGAGCGAACAGG